CGAAAGCGUGGGGAGCAAACAGGAUUAGAUACCCUGGUAGUCCACGCCCUAAACGAUGUACACUAGUUGUUGGGGUGCUAGUCAUCUCAGUAAUGCAGCUAACGCAUUAAGUGUACCGCCUGGGGAGUACGGUCGCAAGAUUAAAACUCAAAGGAAUAGACGGGGACCCGCACAAGCGGUGGAGCAUGUGGUUUAAUUCGAAGAUACGCGAAGAACCUUACCUGGGCUUGAUAUCCUAAGAACCUUUUAGAGAUAAGAGGGUGCUAGCUUGCUAGAACUUAGAGACAGGUGCUGCACGGCUGUCGUCAGCUCGUGUCGUGAGAUGUUGGGUUAAGUCCCGCAACGAGCGCAACCCACGUAUUUAGUUGCUAACGGUUCGGCCGAGCACUCUAAAUAGACUGCCUUCGUAAGGAGGAGGAAGGUGUGGACGACGUCAAGUCAUCAUGGCCCUUAUGCCCAGGGCGACACACGUGCUACAAUGGCAUAUACAAUGAGACGCAAUACCGCGAGGUGGAGCAAAUCUAUAAAAUAUGUCCCAGUUCGGAUUGUUCUCUGCAACUCGAGAGCAUGAAGCCGGAAUCGCUAGUAAUCGUAGAUCAGCCAUGCUACGGUGAAUACGUUCCCGGGUCUUGUACUCACCGCCCGUCACACCAUGGGAGUUGAUUUCACUCGAAGCCGGAAUACUAAACUAGUUACCGUCCACAGUGGAAUCAGCGACUGGGGUGAAGUCGUAACAAGGUAACCGUAGGAGAACCUGCGGUUGGAUCACCUCCUUUCUA
rnacentral:rRNA from 1 species